rnacentral:rRNA from 1 species
GGAGGAAAAGAAAAUAACAAUGAUUUCCCUAGUAACGGCGAGUGAAGAGGAAAGAGCUCAAAGUUGGAACCUAUUUGGCUUAGCUAAAUCGGAUUGUAAACUGUAGAAGUGUUUUCCUGACACGCCUGGUAAAAAAGUCCUUUGGAACAGGGCAUCAUAGAGGGUGAGAAUCCCGUCAUUGGCCAGAGCUGUUGUCUUUUGUGAUACAUUUUCAAAGAGUCAGGUUGUUUGGGAAUGCAGCCUAAAUUGGGUGGUAAAUCUCACCUAAAGCUAAAUAUUUGCGAGAGACCGAUAGCGAACAAGUACCGUGAGGGAAAGAUGAAAAGAACUUUGAAAAGAGAGUUAAACAGUAUGUGAAAUUGUUAAAAGGGAACCGUUUGGAGCCAGACUGGCUUAAUCGUAAUCAAUCUAGGCUUUGGCCUGGAUGCACUUGCGGUUUAUGCCGGCCAACGACAGUUUUGUUUGGGAGAAAAAAUUACAUUGAAUGUAGCCCCUCGGGGUGUUAUAGCUUUGUAAAAAAUAUCCUGGACUGGACUGAGGAACGCAGUGAAUGCCUUUAGGCAAGAUUGCUGGGUGCUUUCGCUGAUACAUGCUAGAAUUUCUGCUUCGGGUGGUGCUAGUGUUUAAAGGAGGAACUCGCCUAGUAUAUUUUUUAUUCGCUUAGGUUGUUGGCUUAAUGACUCUAAAUGAC